rnacentral:rRNA from 1 species
UGGCCUCAAAUCAGGUAGGAUUACCCGCUGAACUUAAGC